UACGGGGGGGCAAGCGUUGUUCGGAAUUACUGGGCGUAAAGGGCUCGUAGGCGGCCAACUAAGUCGGAUGUGAAAUCCCCAGGCUCAACUUGGGAACUGCAUCCGAUACUGGAUGGCUUGAAUUCGGGAGAGGGAUGCAGAAUUCCAGGUGUAGCGGUGAAAUGCGUAGAUAUCGAGAGGAACACCUGCGGCGAAGGCGGGUUGCUGGGCUGAUACUGACGCUGAUGCGCGAAAGCCAGGGGAGCGAACGGG
rnacentral:rRNA from 1 species